ensembl:lncRNA
AACAGGAUGCUGGGCAUCAUGUCUAACAGUGAAACAGGAAGAGAUGUGCUGUAACUGUAAAGCCUGCAGCCUCAGGGCUGAGCUGUAAGCUGGACGCUGUGGAAACAAUCACACAGGAGCUGAACGAGCCUGAUGUGUGUGAUGUGCGCCGCACUGUGUGAUAACCAAACUGUGAGAGUGUGAAAUAGAUGAAUAGUUACUUUUGUCCAGCUGUUACACUUUCUGUACUUUUUAGAUGUGCGUGACAUGAAGUUAGAAGACAUCAUAUUCAAACUGAGGUUGUUUCUGUUUGCACAUUGGAGUUUGUGCAGUGGGUCUGCUGGACAGUCCGUCUGUUGGAAACAUGUCACAUGACACAGGUUACAGAGCUGGAACGCUUUUCUGAGGUUUUUACUGCUGAAUGUUUUAUUGUGAAGUGUUUGAAAGCGCGAUCCCUGUUUAGUGUUAGUAUCCUGGUACAGGCUUCCAUCAAACACACGUUUCUACCCAAGCUAAUAUGAUAUUUUAUAUUUUUGUACCUGACUGUAAGCUUCACUGCUGCACUGCUAUCAGAAAUCAUUUUCCUCCCGUGCCUUACAAACAGCUCGCCUGCUGAAACUGUAUCUGUGUAUUUGUGAAGGAUAAACCACCUGUGAGUUUAUUCAGGUCUUAAUAGUGAACACUGCUGUUUCUUAAAGCUCCACAGUCCCAGUAAUACAGUGUUGUUCUCUUCUUCUGGGGAUUUGAUCAUAUUUUGUUCAUGUCAUGUUUCUGAUUGUGCAUGAUUUUUCUUUCUUUCUUUUUUUUAAACUUUUGCAUAAAGUAGGAAAUGUUUUCUAUAAGUGUAGAUGCAUUUUUGCACAGCAGGGCCUCUGAUGCUUCAGAGCAGUGUCUCUGCUGCGCGUACAGUAAGUGUUGAAGGAAGAUGAAGGUGGUGGACAGACAGGAGCGUGGGAAUAAAGAGGACUCGUGGAUGAAAUGAUAAUGAAAUGAUAAACAUGCAGUGUCAAAAACAACCAUGAUGACUUUGAGCUGUUUGCACAGCUACAGUGUCAGGUUCACAUUUACUGUGAAAACCGAAUAAACAGGAAAACUCUGUAAUCACCUGCUGACUGACUCAGUUUAUAAUAACUGUCACAGUUAUAUAUUUUAUGUUUAAAUGCUAUAUUUGCAACGAUAAGUAGCUCU